AAGGAAGUCUGUAAACCAGACCUGAAACAGCUACUUUGUUUUAUUUCCAUUUUGGCUUUGAGCCUGGUAAUCCAUUUGUCAAAUUUGCAAUGGAGAACAGCACUGCCUCUCUCCUCAUAACACUCAGCAAUGGAGAACAGCACUGCCUCUCUCCUCUUAACACUC